UACUGCCUUCGCACUGUCCGCUUUUUCACGGCCCCUUACGAUACCCCACCGCCACCACACAGACGCACGUACGCGCACACCGCCUGUGCUUGUGGGGUUGCAUGGGACUGCGCCACGCGUUUGUGUGACUGGAACCAUUGCUCGCUUCGUCUUGUUUUCGCAGCUCAUCUGGUGGGCGCACAUCUUCGCUUCGUCGCCCCGCGCCAACGCCUCACCGUCUUUUGUUCGCGCGCGUGUGUGUGUGCUUUGUUCGUUGCUGCGGUGUGUGCCGCUCCCGCCUUUCGCACAGCUGUCGCUGGCCUCCCCUUUCACGACGCUCUCUCUCUCUCACCGUGUGUGUGCGUGCCUCGGGCGCCGCUGCAGGUUUUCGCACCCUUUCUAGACGUUUUGAGAGAGCGCUCCCGCUGGCACAUAGGUGCACAUGCGUGUCGCUCGUUGAGUGGUGAGAAGGACUACGACACGUCGAAGACAUCGAUCAAGUGCGAGAGAGAAGGGCCAACGCACGCGAGAGACCACUACCGCCAUCGAAUAUCCUCCGCCGCGGCAAGAGUGAGAGAGCGCGCACGCGAGCCAUUAGAGAACGGAGGGAUACGAAGAGAACCCCACAGCCCACGGAAGGCCUCAGGCAGAAGCCCACGAGACAAGGUGCUGCGGAGAAGAAAAAGAAGAGCGAAGGAGUGUGCGCGCAUACAGCCUUGUGUAGCGCACGCGUAUGCGAGGCACAGCAAGAGAGGAGCAAAAGGGAAAACAAAAGGCAAGGUUGAACGUCAUCGCUUGUUGCAUUGGUCUCUGACAAUGUCGGUUUCCACCCAGCAUGCGCGCUCCCACUGCAGCAGCAACGCAGGUGCGAGGCCUCCACUGCUGCUGCUGCUCACCCUGCUGGUGGUGCUACAGCUGCUGGCCGCGGGCGCGACCCCUGCAAGCGCCUUUUAUGUGCCUGGCGCAGCAGAGAAAGCGUACAAGAAAGGCGAAGAGGUGAAAUUCAUGGUGAACUCGUUGCGAUCCUCGUCGGAGAUGUUUCCCAUCGACUACUCAAAGAUGCCGUUCUGUCAGCCGGCGAGGCAGGAGUUCAAGGAGGAGUCCAUUGGCGAGAUCAUAUGGGGUGACCGCAUGCUCAACUCCCUGUACACCGUCAGGAUGAAGGAAGAUGUGAAGUGCAUGGCUCUCCCCGAUUGCGACUUCAUCGCCAACACCGAGACAAUUCGCCGCAAGGAGUCGAAGAACCUCACAAAGAUGAUCAAUAAAUGGUACCGUGUGUACAUGAACAUCGACAACUUGCCCGUCUUCUCCACCAACCCGGAAAGCACACAGAUGAGCGAGUGCGCCAAGAAACUCGGCAAGGACGUCAAGAUCUACGCACAGCGAGGGUUCCCGCUCGGUGUCCCGGCCAAAUGCACGAGCGACCGGGCGGCGCUGCUAAACAAUCACCUUGAUUUCACGAUUCACUACAACCACGACAGCCAGACGACCAGCACGACAGCAGAGGAGGAAAGGAGGUAUAUCGUGGUCUUUAUCGACGUCAAGGCCAGAAGCAUCGCUUGGAGCGACUCCCUAGAGUGCAACAGCCAGAUGAAAGUCGCGCCGGAGGUUCUCGCGCCAAUGCGCGGCCUCAAGAUGAAGAAUGUUACGCAGAACAAGGCGACGGUGUACUGGACGUACAGCGUCAAGUGGAAGGAGAACCCGAACGUUAAGUGGGCGACGCGCUGGGACUUCUACCUCACUGCCGCCGCCGCUGCCGCACCCGCUGGCCACAUCCUCUUUAUCAUCCUCUCGCUCAUGGUGGUGCUGUUCAUUGGCAGCGCGGUGAUGGGGGUUCUGCUAAGGGCGCUGCACAAGGACUUUAACCGCUACAACUCCGAAGACCCAGAGGACUUGCAAGAGGAGGUGGGAUGGAAGCUGGUUCACGCCGACGUGUUCCGCCCGCCACUUUACGCAAACUGGCUUGCCAUCUUCGUCGCCAACGGUGUCCAAAUCCUCACGACUGUUGGGGUGGUGCUAAUCAUAGCGCUUAUGGGCUUCCUCUCCCCCUCUCGGCGCGGUGCUCUCCUCACGACAAUGCUGCUGACCGCCGUCUUCACGUCGCUCAUUAGCGGCUAUGUCUGCGGUGUGCUGCUGCAGUACCUCAACUGCCGUGCAUGGAAAAACAUUUUCACGUGCAGCUUCACACUGCCGGGUGCAAUGCUGCUCAUCUACAUUUUCAUCCUCAUCAUCAACAAGGCGCACGGCGCCACUACUGCCAUCCCGUUCAUGACGCUGUUGGAGAUGCUGACGCUCUUUGUGGCGGUGAGCCUGCCGCUGACGGUGUUGGGAGGCUCCGUGGCCUUCCGCCAGCAGCCCAUCACGAACCCGACGCGGGUCGGUCGCCUCGCUCGCGAGAUCCCGACACAAAGCUGGAUCAAUCAGCCCAUUUUCAUCUGCGUCUUCUGGCCAUCUGUUCCGCUUGUCGUCGUCGUGAUCGAGCUCUACUACAUCAUGCAAGAUCUGUGGGAGGGACAGAUCUAUUACUCCUUCGGCUUCCUCACCGUGACGGCGUGCAUUUGGGUACUCGUCUGCGCUCUCGUCACGAUAUCGUGCCUGUACUACGUUCUUUGCUACGAGAAUCAUCGCUGGUGGUGGAUUGCGUACCUCGUGCCCGGCGGUGCCGGUGUUCACAUGUUCUGCAUGUCGCUCAUUUUUUUCAUGUCUCACGUCUCCGUGAGCAGCUUCGCCUCUGCGGUGCUUUUCUUUUCCUACAUGGGGAUGGUGUCGUAUAUGUACGGAAUGGCGGCUGGUGCCGUCGGCGUGAUCGUCUCCAUCGUGUUCGUGCGCAGGAUCUACGGCAGCAUCAAGAUUGACUAGAGAGGAUGGCCUCACCUCCCCGCGUGUCUGGCGAGAAGGAAAAGGCGAAACGGGGAAGAGGCGAGGUGGUGUGCGGCAGUGAUACUUGUUUCGCCUCCUUUGUGUGUGUGCUGCGUUGCUCUCACCCGCUCCCUCUCCAUCGCUCUCGUCCGCCCUUCAGUAUUUUUAGUGCUCGGCGUCUGCGUGCUUUUCUUUUUUUUUUUGGCUCGUGUUGUUCUCAUUGUUCUGCGCCUUUUUUUCUUGUGCGCGUAGUCCGUCUGCGUGCUUGGCUUUGCUCUUGUGCGUCGCAAUUGUGUACGUAUACGUGCAUGUGUGGGGAGGGGGAGAGAGGGAUGUGACAUUUGCGUGUGUGUUGUAGCGAACACUCACUGUCGAACCCUUCUUUUCUCCCAUUUUGUGCUCUUUGUGUGUGCCUCUUCGCACCACCCGUAUCUGUAAGAGAAAGAGAGGGCUGCGAAUCAACGACAACGCCCCGUAUUGCGCUCGCCGGCGUUUCGCGGGGUGGGGGGAGGCUGUGCGGUAGUCCUUCACCUCUACGGUCGCCCCUUCUUGACUCUUUUUGUGCUGUGUGUCUGUGCGUGUUCUCGCAUAAAGCGAAAAGGGCCGAUACAGGGACGGGCAUGCAGAGCGGCGAACUCCAUUCCGACACCGUUCCUCUUGCCCUCCUUUGCUUUUCGUUUUUCCUUUUCCUUUCUGUGUUCAG
rnacentral:misc_RNA from 1 species